rnacentral:rRNA from 1 species
UACGUAGGGGGCGAGCGUUGUCCGGAUUCAUUGGGCGUAAAGAGCUCGUAGGCGGCUUGGUUAGUUGGGUGUGAAACCUCCAGGCUUAACCUGGAGACGCCACUCAAUACUGCCAUGGCUAGAGUCCGGUAGGGGACCACGGAAUUCCUGGUGUAGCGGUGAAAUGCGCAGAUAUCUGGAGGAACACCGGUGGCGAAGGCGGCAUCCUGGACCGGCAUUGACGCUGAGGCGCGAAAGCCAGGGGAGCAAACGGG